ACCCCGCCUUCCACCGCCUGUGCUCUUUGCAGGUGAACUUCUGGCAGCUAGCCGCCUUGCGGGCCUUCCAGCCGCAGCCUCUGAUUCCCAGCCCCAGGAGAAAAAAGGCCGGAGGGAAAGACGUGGCUCCCCCAGGGCGCGGAGGAACCCAAGCUAAGCGGUGGCCUGCCCUGGCUGGGUGCCCCAAUCUCUCCCCUGAAGCCAGAGACAAGCCCGAGACUGUUUUCUGAGAGACAGCAAGAGCGACACGGGGAAAGAAAAGCAGGCACCGUGACAACCAGUCAACCUCGUGCAUAAGCCAAGGUAAAAGGACUCCUUGUCCAGACCCCUACCUCUUGAAUUCACCAUUCAUCACUUCUAACCUGGAGACCUGGUGCUGGUCAAGACUUAGAAGGAGGACAAGGUCAACCCAGCUGGAAGGCCCCUAUCAAGUGCUCUUGACCAUUUAUAUGGCUAUAUGAACAGAUGAAAAAGGGUGGAUUCAUUACACCUGAGCCAAACGACUGGUAAAGGAAAGCCAGGGAGAAGGGAAGAAGAAUUGGUGGAAAGUAUAUAGGUCUCCCAAGGAACUUCUAAAAGUAACUCUGAGAAAAGCCCUCCUGAUGGCAGGUACAAGAUGGGUCCAUCUCUGGGCAAUGAUGUGGUUACUGUGGGUAGUUAUACAAGGAGUGAAAGGUGGAUACCUGGUUAAAUUAGUGAUUAAUUAGUGAUUAACCAGGACUUUAGGGUCUCAAACUAUCAAAUUUGAUGCCUGCCAGGCUUUGCCUUGUGGAAAUUGAGAAAAAUCAAAGGCAACUCUCAGGGGAGAAUAAGUACUUUUGCUCAGAACCUAUGUGGGGAGAGAAUUUAGGGGGCAUAGUCAGCCUUCCCUAUUCCAGUUGGAGUGAAGUCUGGUGGACAACUGAAUACCAGGGUUGAACUGCUUUUGCCCAAGGGGUUAAUUCCAAACUGGCCCCCUUACAAGCUAAAUUGCAUUUAUCUAAAGGCAGUCCACCAAACAAUUGCCAGAAUUUACAAUGUAACCCCAUACUUUUGACCAUAGACAACUCAACCACCCUAGACCAGGAACCUAAAGUAGCACCACGGGUACGUAGAUUAGGAGCAGACGUCUCAGGAAGGGACCCUCUAGGAGAACUAACCCUCCAGUUGGUCAAGAACACAACCUCACAUCCAUCUGGUGCCAGUACAACCGUAGAUCCUGAUAGGGAGUUUAAUGUCCCAAAUAACAAUCCUAAAAGGGUAGAGAUUGAGACAGCUGUUAAACAAAUGGCCCAUGACCUACCAGCAAAUAAUUUGCUAUUAUUAAAAACUAAAUUAGACUCACUUUCCUAUGAGGGGAAAAUCAAUAGGUUCUGGAGCAAUUUCAAAAGCAAAAAAUAUGAAGCUGGGCACCAGUGGCUCACACCUGUAAUCCUAGCUACUCAGGAGGGAGUGGCUCAAGGUGCUGGCCCUGAGUUAAA